UAAUUCGUAGGGUGCGAGCGUUAAUCGGAAUUACUGGGCGUAAAGCGUGCGCAGGCGGUUUUGUAAGACGGAUGUGAAAUCCCCGGGCUCAACCUGGGAACUGCAUUCGUGACUGCAAGGCUAGAGUAUGGCAGAGGGGGGUAGAAUUCCACGUGUAGCAGUGAAAUGCGUAGAGAUGUGGAGGAAUACCGAUGGCGAAGGCAGCCCCCUGGGCCAAUACUGACGCUCAUGCACGAAAGCGUGGGGAGCAAACAGGAUUAGAUACCCUGGUAGUCCACGCCCUAAUCAUUUCAACUAGUUGUUGGGGAUUCAUUUCCUUAGUAACGUAGCUAACGC
rnacentral:rRNA from 1 species